rnacentral:rRNA from 1 species
UAUGUAGGGUGCAAGCGUUAUCCGGAAUUAUUGGGCGUAAAGAGCUCGUAGGCGGUUUGUCGCGUCUGCUGUGAAAACUGGAGGCUCAACCUCCAGCCUGCAGUGGGUACGGGCAAACUAGAGUGCGGUAGGGGAGAGUGGAAUUCCUGGUGUAGCGGUGGAAUGCGCAGAUAUCAGGAGGAACACCGAUGGCGAAGGCAGAUCUCUGGGCCGUAACUGACGCUGAGGAGCGAAAGCAUGGGGAGCGAACAGG